rnacentral:ncRNA from 1 species
UUAAAAAUGAUGAUGGAAAAAAGUAAUUUGGACAGGUCUAAACAAGAGAACAAAUGCCAUAGGUUGAGAGCAUUUGUCUAGACAACCAGAUGAACGUUCACUUCCUGAAUUGACUUUGGGAAUUACUGUUAAGGUAAUGAAAAAAGUUCCGGUAUACGCCGUUAUGUAAAUCAAGUGUGGAUUUGUUUUUUUAUGAAUCUAAACAAGGGUGGUACCGCGAAUCGAAGCCUCGUCCCUUUU